UUGUGACGUUUCCACCGAUCAGAGGAUUAAAUUUUCUUUUGCCUUUCAUGCUGAGUGGUUCUCAAUGGAUGUAAAAACAGAAUUAAUUUACUUUCUGUUUGAGGCGAAGAAAACAUUACUUUGAGAAGCUCAAUAGUGAUGGUGAGUUAAGACAAUCAGAAAUAGUAUCAGAUCCCCAAAUAGGCAGAUUUAUAGGUCUACAUUUGCGUGCAGGCCAGGUAGCCUAGGCCUACUUCUAUGAGUUACCAGGCGCACUCAAGAUUGACAGGAGCACUCCAAACAAAAGACAAUACAUUUAUUGACAACUCAGAAAUAAACCUAGGUUGUGCACUCUGCAAACAACGUGUCCACUCCUACAAUGACAAAGCUAACACUGUAAUAAACAUAAAAACAGCUUUCACAGAAACUACCGAAAACAAACAUUUAUAAUUCAAAAUUAUGGGAUUUAACGGUAAAUGUACUACUGGUGAUACUGGUGUGCCAUCCCUGUGGUCUCCAACGGAUUAGUCCACUGAGACAGGCGUGUAUCAGACAGGUGUCGUGUGCCAUCCCUGUGGUCUCCAAUGGAUGAGUCCACUGAGACAGGCGUGUAUCAGACAGGUGUCGUGUGCCAUCCCUGUGGUCUCCAAUGAAUGAGUCCACUGAGACAGGCGUGUAUCAGACAGGUGUCGUGUGCCACCCCUGUGGUCUCCAAUGGAUGAGUCCACUGAGACAGGCGUGUAUCAGACAGGUGUCGUGUGCCACCCCUGUGGUCUCCAAUGGAUGAGUCCACUGAGACAGGCGUGUAUCAGACAGGUGUCGUGUGCCACCCCUGUGGUCUCCAAUGGAUGAGUCCACUGAGACAGGCGUGUAUCAGACAGGUGUCGUGUGCCACCCCUGUGGUCUCCAAUGGAUGAGUCCACUGAGACAGGCGUGUAUCAGACAGGUGUCGUGUGCCACCCCUGUGGUCUCCAAUGGAUGAGUCCACUGAGACAGGCGUGUAUCAGACAGGUGUCGUGUGCCACCCCUGUGGUCUCCAAUGGAUUAGUCCACUGAGACAGGCGUGUAUCAGACAGGUGUCGUGUGCCAUACAUUUGUUUUACAUAUUUGCCACUGCUCUACAAAAAAAAUACAGCCAAUCAACCAAACAAUCGACAAGUCGACUAAAUGGGGUCAGCCCCACUUUACGCACUGCCCAGACUAGACUCAUGCUAUUUGUAUGUCUUUUAUUAGUAUUUUUUUCCCUCCUUUUCUAAUCAAUUGCAAUCUUGUCUCAUCGCUGUUACUCUCCAAUGGGCUCCGAAACAUGGCCCGCCAAACGGUUUUUCUUAACACCCCCCGCUUAAACUGGAAACACCGUUCACCUGACUACCGAGGUCAUCCUGCAGGCGCCUGGCCCGGCACAAGGAGUCGCUAGAGCGCAAUGAGUCAAAUAAAGCUCCCCGGCAAACCCCUCCCCUAACCCAGAGGACGCUGGGCCAAUUGAGCUCACCCUAUGGGACUCCUGAUCACGUACAGGUUGUGAUAGAGUCCAGGAUGGAACCUGGGUCUAGUGAUGCCUCUAGCGCCACUCGGGAGGCCUCUUUGUAUUUCUUAAGCUUCACUAUAGUUUUCGCUGGGGAAGAGCACCCAACUACUCUGGCUUAUUUGGCUCAAGGGUGUGAACUAACCGCAGACAGCCGUUCAUCGUCCUGAUGUGUGCAGCCUCAAACAUGUCAUUGCAUUUGCAGAUGAACUAACACAUGCCAAUCAUGCAUUCAGGUGAAAAUGAGUCUGUCUAUAGAAUACCUCUGUGUACUAUAC